rnacentral:rRNA from 1 species
UACGUAGGGGGCAAGCGUUGUCCGGAAUCAUUGGGCGUAAAGCGCGUGUAGGCGGUUCGAUAAGUCUGCUGUGAAAGUCCAAGGCUCAACCUUGGGAUGCCGGUGGAUACUGUCGGGCUAGAGUGCGGAAGAGGCGAGUGGAAUUCCCGGUGUAGCGGUGAAAUGCGCAGAUAUCGGGAGGAACACCAAUUGCGAAGGCAGCUCGCUGGGACGUAACUGACGCUGAGACGCGAAAGCGUGGGAAGCAAACAGG